GAUUGUCUGGUACAUGCGGUCAUGUAUCCGCUGUCCUACAUCAGCUUAUAGAAUGGUCUCAGAGGUACAAACAGAAAGACAACUCAUUACGUUGUGAAAAGAAGAUUAAUAUCGAUGACAAUACUCCUUGCACUUUAAAACAAAACACCCAAAAAGAAAUUGCUGUUGCCUAAAACAUGUAUAGCUGACCUAUCUGUAUGGGAAAAACAGCCAACAAAACGCAGACAAAAGCGGGAUUAAAAAACAUUCAAUUCAGACCCUUCAUUAACUGAAGACAAAAUAACAAGUCGUGUAUAGAAUGCAAUUGAUAAAUUACAACUGUCAGACAGAGUUUGCCGUGUACAAACAAUAUUGCAGCUUAAAUAUGCCAAGAAGGAAUACAUUUGUUUUUAACAACACGAUUCUGUUUCAAAUUAUAUAUGUACGUGUUUGUGUAAUUUAAUUGCAUGUGAAUAAAAAUAUGUUCUCGUGCAAA
rnacentral:lncRNA from 1 species